AGUAAGGUGCAUAGACUGUACAUAUCAUUUUCUUUAAUUUUCAUGGUCAUAAUGAGAGAUCAGUUGGCUGAUCUUAAAAUAAAUAAAUUAAUUGAAUUUUGUUAUAGAAUGUUAUAGUUUUGCGAGGUCAGGGGGCGGGGUUACUUGAUUGACAGUCCGGUCUGGAAUAAUUGACAGGUCCUAUGGAGGAGGCAGCUCAGAUUCUGCUCUCCUUGUUUGGAUUAACUCUGAUAUGAUCACUGUUGGUUUAUUUAUCGGUGGAGCAGCAGAACCCUUUCCACAGACAGCUUUCCUGCCCGUUGGCUUGUUUUAACCAGUUUUCUAUCUUCUGCUGAUUCUACCAACAGACACUGAAAGGACUGAUAGUUCGAUAAGUGUUUAUUUUCAUAUCGGUGCCGCUUUUAAUUCACUUUAUAUGCAGCUGUAGUGUCAGAUGUAAUGUGUGCCGUGCACUCCAGAUGUUGGUGUAGUUUAUUCUUGUGUGUGUUGACCAGACAAGAGAGUUAGCAUCCAGUAAAUAUUAGCUUUAAUGUUCGCGAUGCUAACCGAACCAGCUGCUCAGUCGUAGCCUGAUGCUAAUGUAGCAUUAAGCUAAUGAUGUUUGUGUUGAGUUUCAUGUAAACAGUUGAAGUGUGUUGUUUUAGCGUAAUCUGGUACAUUUAGUUAAUAGAACCUAUCAUGGAGACGAUGGUUCACAUUAAUGUAACAUUUAGAAAACCUAAAUGUGAUUAAAACAGUCAGAUUAAGGUUCUGUGUUGUCAGUGGUCCUGAACAUCUGCUGAGUGUCUGAAGUUAAACUGGAGGAAACAGUAAAUCUACUCUCGAGUGGUUAACAUUGUUUAAUGAUUGAUUCACACUGUAGUACAUCUUAUUGCAGAUUAGAAAAAUAACCUCCCAGAAUAUGUCCAAAGUAAUGAUGAACAUUACAGUUAUUACAUUUAAAUUGCACCACAGAUAAGAUGGAUAAUAAAAUCCUCUCCUAAAGCUAAAGUGACUACAGGCCUUUCUGUCUUUCAGUGCUUGGAAAAUAUAUAUGACAGAGAAAAUCUCUUCAGAGAUACUUUAAAAUCGACCUCUGCUGUUGAUGCUGAUACUGUGAUGUCUCUCUUCAUCUCAGGUGUCUCAUGUUCACUGUGAGGAUCUUCUGAGUGAAGCCAACAGAAGGAAAACCUCAUCUGGUUCAGGAGACUGAAUGGACAACAUCCUCAGUGAACCACUUCCUGUUGAGCUUUCACUUACAGAAGGACAGACCAACUGUUUCAGCAGUUUAUUAUUCUCUGUUCAGCAGACAGGUGCUCUGCUUUGGAGUGUGACGAUGUCGUCGGUGAUGUGGAGAGUGAAGUUUCCGUUUCACCCACAGCGUGCUUUAAGGCACCCAGAGUGAAAGUAGCAGUUCCUCUUUAAGGUCAAAGAUUGCAGCAUCUGAGGGCCUCUUCAAAAGAAGACGUAGUUGAUGAAGGCGUUCUGGAGCAGGGCCAGAAAGACCAUGACUAAGCAGCCUGGAGAUCUUCGACAGCGUCUCUCUCAGUUCAAAGGUCCCAGUCUAUCUCCCCACACAUCCACCAACCACUGGAACACAUCUCCAAAGUUCUGCUGAAGCUCAGCUUCCCUUCAGAAGAAGUGCCACCAGAUGAAGGAGCCUUUUGAGAGGCAGCUGGCAUCGUGAAUGGACUGUACUUUGGUCUGUUCCAAUCCAGCUUCAGCUCCAGAGACGGCAGGCGGGACGAGUCAACGGAGGCCGGGUGGACGAAGGCAUGCAGCUGAGUACAAUCCAGAAAACAACAGCGAAGUGCAGCGGCCCAGGUCCAGAACAGAGUAGCAUAGUAUGUCUCUGAGAAAACAUCAUAGUAUAGCCUUUGGUAUGAAAAAAUGCCAUCAUAUACAUCGUAUAUUGUACAAAUAACCAGGAAAGAGAUAUCCAUUGUAGAAUUGUAGUAAUUGUGGGCUGACUGAUUUACUGAUUAUCAGUAUUUUAAUUUUUACUGAUUUACAGUAAUAAAUACAUUUAUAAAUGGCACUACCUUGGCCCUGAACCUUUAUCUACCUGUGGACGCUCUGUCUUCUGGAGUGAUUUCAUUGGUUAUACAUCACGAAUAAAACUCCUUUAACUUAACAUCUGUAAACAAAACAAAAAGGUAUCAACAAAGUUUUCUGUUAGAGUUUGUGUUCUUCUAAGUUUAACUCCAAGAUUUUAAAUACUUUCAUUUAUGGCAAAUGAAUAUCUCCUCCAAAUGUCUCACUAAUAAUCAUUAUCCACCUUAGAAACCCACAAAGCACCCCUCUAUGCUCGACCACACUUCGUACAAAAUCUGCUUGGAAUCUUCCACUUCCUGUUUGUCAAAGUGGCCUUCUACCUGGACAGGUUUUGUUGGAGCUCAUGCAACAAACAUUUUGGGUAAGUGCUCUUUAAUAUGGAUGGAUGACACUGAAUUAGAGUCUGUUUUAAUGAGACUGAGUUCAGAUGUGUAGCUCUGUCAUUAAAGGGAUAGUUCGGGAUUUUUGACAUGAAUCUGUAUGGCAUCCCCAAUAUAUUCAUCGUCGCUGUCGUAGUCAGACAUGUUGUUAACUUUACGAGCAGUAAACAAAGUGAAACCUGCGCGACUGCCAGCUGGAGGCAGCGCGGAGUGAUAUGAAGGGAGAGAAAAUAGUGCCAAGCGUUUACGAGGUCUGACUUUUUGUGGACAACGGUUUUGUAAUGCAAAUAUAUCACUCUUUCGAACACAUGUUGGUUUGAGAAGAAAACGCUUUAUUUUCGUGACCCCAGCAAACUGGCCGGAUUACUUUCGUCUGGACCAAAACCGGACCGGAUCUCUGCUCACCGGACGCUGUCGGGGGUAAGUCUGUGUGAAUGCACAACACUGCUGACGGGGAUGCCAUACAGAUUCAUGUCAAAAAUCCCGAACUAUCCCUUUAAGUCAAAAAUUAUUUCUUAGAAUUCACGGAGAAAAGUCUGAAAUGUUUGCUAGGUUAGCGUCCCACAUGUUCUGUGGCUCAGCUAAAGCUAACUCUCUCCAACUUCUGGAUCUCUGGAGUUGCUUGUUGUUAAAAUGUCUUGCUAAAGGCGCAGAAGCUCAGAAAAUCUGAGAUGUUUGUUGAAAAUAAGCUCAUUCUCAAGUCUUAUCUGAACUGUCCUCUUUAGUUUGAACUUUCCCUAAACUUAGGAGUUAAUGACAGAGCAGCACAUCCAGACUCAGUUUCAUUUAUGUAGAGAUUAAACUUGAGUGUCAUUCACUCAUGUUAAAGUGCAGUUUUUCACAUGUUUGUUGCACAUGCCCCCAACCAAACCAGUCCAGGUAGAAGACGAUGUGAAGAGAAGCUCCAGAAGAUGAAUAUCACACAUUUACGUUGGAAAUAAAUGUCCUUUAAUUAGACAUUUUCAUGCAAAAGUUGGAUUUCCCUUUAAUGAUGUUCAAAACCUUGUUGAGUGUUUUGUUGAUGUUGGUUUCUAAAUGUUUUCUGACACUCAGCCCCAAAGAUUAAAAUCUUCUACGGCUCACAAGCUGCAACAAUUCACACAUUAUCAAC